AACCUUAUGGACCUGCGGGCGUAUACCUGCGGAGGGAUCAUUACACAACAAAAUAUGAAGGCCUGGCUUCGCGGCCGGCUGAAGUAUUUUUUUUUCACCCAUGUCUUUUGCGCACUUGUUGUUUCCUGGGCGGGUUCGCCCGCCACCAGGACCAAACCAUAAACCUUUUUUUUAUGUAGUUGCAAUCAGCGUCAGUAAAAACAAUGUAAUUAUUACAACUUUUAACAAUGGAUCUCAGAU
rnacentral:misc_RNA from 1 species